rnacentral:tRNA from 1 species
UAGCUCAGUCAGUAGAGCGUAGCACUAACAACGCUAAGCUCACAGGUUCGAUUCCCGU